GUGCGUGGGGGGUGCUGUGAGAGAAGGAGACGGAGAGGGGGUAUGGGGAAGUUUCAGGAACCUUUGUGCAAGACUUAAAUAGAUCUAAGGGUUGAAAUGCAAGAUGACCGCGGUUUUGUUUUGUUUCCUAGUUUUAAAUAGCUGCAAAUUUGGAAAAUGCAUAGAAAUAUGUAGAAAAAAAGCUAAAAAUGUGAAGCUUGUUUUGUUGAGUUCCUGAUGAUAUCUAGUUUAUUUCAAAAAUUAUUAUGUGUAUGUUCCUAUUCCAUAUCUGGUGCUAUGAUUUAUUUUGAUCUAAUAGUUGUUAAAUGUUUUAUACAUCAUGUGGUGGUCCAAAAAUUGUGAAACCAAUUUUGGUAGCUUCCAUUUACCAUUUAUAUUCUAGAUAUGCAAGUUGUAUUAUUGGAAUCUAUGGUUUUCAUGCUAUUUUAAAUCUAAUGCUUGUUUGCUGUCUUAAUUUUGUUAUUUGCAUGAUAAUUAGUGGAAAAUUGAUAAAGUGUUGAAACCACUUCUGUUAGCCUAUGUUUUCUACAUAGAAUCUAGAAAAAUGAUGUUGAUGAUUUUCUGGUUAAUUUACAAGCCUUUUGGGAUUUAAUGUGUUUAAUGGUAGUUUGUCUUGUUUAUUUUACAUCUCCACAUUAAAAAUUGAUUUUGAUGUGAAUCCAAUUCUCAUGAUUUUGUAUUGUUGUCUUCUAUCAGUGCACUUUAU
rnacentral:lncRNA from 1 species